GGGACUGUGGCUUAGUGGUAGAGUGCUUGCCUAACAUGCAUUAAACUCUGGGUUUGAUUCCUCAGUACCA
rnacentral:tRNA from 1 species